AGUGAUAAGCUGAUGCAUUUGUAUGGUGCAAAAUGCAGACCAUGGUGAGGUUGCCCAACACAUUCAUCACCUCCCAUAAUUACCUGCUUCUUUUUUUAAAUUUUGUGCUGAGAAUGUUUCAGAUCUAGUGUCUUGGCAACUUUGAGGCUCACAACCCAGCUUUGCUGACUAUGGUCCCCAUGCCUGGACUCGUUCAUCCUAUCACGGGAAGCACAUGGCUCUGACCCACAUCUCCGCAUUUCUGCAUCUCCAGCACCUAGAGACCACGUGUCCACUCUCUGCUUCUGUGAGUUUGACUAUUUUGGAUUCCACGUAAAAGUGAGCUCCCGCAGAAUUGGACUUAUUUCACUCAGCAUAAUCCCCUCCAGUUCCAUCCAUGUUGAUGCAAAUGGCUUCGGGCUGGCGCUCACUGAAGCCCCGCCAGGCAGGCAGGCAGGUCGCCCCUUCCCCUCCUCCAGCGCCAAGGGUCGCGUGACCCUGCUUUCCUGCAGACGAAAGAAAACAGCAUUCCACAGAAAGGUUUGUGCUGGUGGCUUUUCAAAAGAAACCCCCAAAUACGUUUCCCCGGACCCACGCAGAAUUCACACAUUUUGCACCCUACGGCUGGCUUCCCUCUUGUCCUCCUUCCUGUGUCUUUGUGCCUCGUGGGGACCCGGAGCUGGUGUUAAGAUUAUUUUGAGCUGAAGGCAUUCGAGUGUCGACCAGAGGCAGAAAGAAGCCUUCUCCAGGCGCUUCCCUCAUCCGGCACAAACCCGCAACUCCCGGGAAGCAGAGCUCCAUAAGUUCCUCUUCUGGCCCGCUCUCUGCCCCAGAAGGCAGAAAGCAGUAAAACCCACCCAAACCCUCUGUCCAGAGCAGUUUAUGGCCCUGCAGGAGAUGCAGAGACCACUCAUAUCUGUCUGGACCAACAUCACUGCAACCUUUCUUACCUGCUGUUUGUUUUGAGAAAACCCAUCGAUGGUCCCACAAAGUCAUCUGUGCUCUUGUAAGGUCACUGAGAACCAGCAGAAGCAGGAGACGCUCUAGGAACGGGACGCCCAUUUCUGUAAAGAAAAUUCACAUUCAUAAGUGAAAUAUCCCCUUGUAGAGAUGUCUCCCUGUCCCAGAGCUGGAAGAGGACCCCCUUGUAACAACUCUUAUCAAUGGAGGACGUCUUGACUUACAUCCGCAUAACAAACACCACGGAACACCCCGUUCACCAUACUAUCCUGGUCACUUUCCCAUAACUUGCUUCCAUAGUGCAGGAACCCAAAAUCCCUUUGCCUUUGUUUAGCCUGAAAAAGUAUAUAAGCCCCUUCUAACCAACCCUCAGUGUUACUCAUCUCUGGGUACUCUCAUGUGUAAGUGUGAUGCAAUGUUAAUAAACUACUGCUUGUGUUUCUCUUGUUGA